UACGGAGGUGCAAGCGUUGUUCGGAAUCACUGGGCGUAAAGGGCGUGUAGGCGGUCCGCUAAGUCUGAUGUGAAAGCCCGAGGCUUACCCUCGGAAGUGCAUUGGAGACUGGCGGACUGGAGUCCCGGAGAGGAGGGUGGAAUUCCUGGUGUAGCGGUGAAAUGCGUAGAUAUCAGGAGGAACACCGGUGGCGAAGGCGGCCCUCUGGACGGUGACUGACGCUGAGACGCGAAAGCGUGGGGAGCAAACAGG
rnacentral:rRNA from 1 species